AGGAAGUGGCGGUGCGAGGGCUGCUGCACAGCUAGCAGAGCUGCGGUCCGGACGGCAGCGCGUGCCCCGAGCUCUCCGCCUCACCCCGCCCGCCAGCCCGAGGCAGCCCGAGCCCAGCCCGCGGCCCCAGCAGCAGCGCCGAGAGCAGCCCCAAUAGCAGCGCCAUGGCCGGGUGGAACGCCUACAUCGACAACCUCAUGGCGGACGGGACCUGUCAGGACGCGGCCAUCGUGGGCUAUAAGGACUCGCCCUCCGUCUGGGCCGCCGUCCCCGGAAAAACCUUCGUCAACAUCACGCCAGCUGAGGUUGGUGUCCUGGUUGGCAAAGACCGGUCAAGUUUCUUCGUGAAUGGGCUGACACUUGGGGGCCAGAAAUGUUCUGUGAUCCGGGACUCACUGCUGCAGGAUGGGGAAUUUACUAUGGAUCUUCGUACCAAGAGCACCGGCGGAGCCCCCACCUUCAAUGUCACUGUCACCAUGACUGCCAAGACGCUAGUCCUGCUGAUGGGCAAAGAAGGUGUCCAUGGCGGUUUGAUCAACAAGAAAUGUUAUGAAAUGGCCUCCCACCUGCGGCGUUCCGAGUACUGACCUCGUCUGUCCCUUUCCCACCACUCCCACAGCUUUUGCACCCCUUCCCGUACACACAUAUACCAUUUUUAUUUUUUGGGCCAUUACCCCACACCCCUUAUUGCUGCCAAAACCACAUGGGCUGGGGGCAGGGGCUGGAUGGACAGACACCUCCCCCUACCCAUACCCUUCCUGUGUGUGGUUGGAAAACUUUUUUGUUUUUUGGGUUUUUUUUUUUUUCUGAAUAAAAAAGAUUCUACUAAAAAAAAAUAAAAAAUAAAAAAAAA